rnacentral:lncRNA from 1 species
UCUCAUAACAAUCAUUCAAGCCUUAAAAUAACAAUAGAGAGAGUAAAUGAAAAACUCCCUAAAAAAUUAAAAACAAGUACUUCAAUAAAUCUUACGACAUAGAACUAUCCAUUCCUUCAGUUGUCAAUAACAGAUCAAAUACGCCAAAUUUUGACAAAAAAAACAACUUAGAGCAAAAUAGAUGACAUAGAUUGUCAUGAACAGAAUCACUUAUACCCAUCUAGUAAGAAAGAGAAAAGACAGAUCCUGGCCACAUUCAAGCUGCACCUUUGACCCAUCCAGCAAGAAAGAAAAAAGACGGAUAUCAUGGACAUUCACUCGUCAACAAUCUUGAAAAAAAAAAGAAAAGAAAAAAACAAAAAAAAGACUACAUUUUCGUUCCCUUCACAAUAAAAAAAAAAUCAAAAUCAGAUCGUGGCAAUCUUUAAUGUCCAACGAUGCAAUAAUUAGAAAGAAUCCAUUCACACAAUUAAAAAAUUGCAUGUUUAUUUCAUCUGCAAGAGAUUGAAAAGCAAGACUGCUUAGGCAUCCCUUCAAAUAUCCAAAGAAAGAUCGACAAUUUCAUCUAAAAAUCCACAUUUUCAUAAGAAAACAAUCUCAUAGACAUCCAUUCAUAAAAUAUCUGGAAAAAAAAAUGUCCGAAAAAAGCAAGACCUCUUAGGCAUCUAUUCAUCAUUAAGAAGGUGUUCUCAUAGACAGCAGUAAAAAAACCCAAUUCAGAUGGGCCAGGAGGAGAGUACAGUCUGCAUGGUUAGUAAAUUUCCUUUAGAACCCUAAAAUGUUAAUAAUUAUAAAAAAAACAGCAUUUCAUUCACAAAUUAUUCUUGAAAUUUAAUAUGUUGGUACUCACAAGGAAAACAAAAAUAUGUGAAGAAAAUGCAUUAAUUUUUACUAACAGUCCCCUGUCCUUACAAUCCUAGAAGUUCAAGAUUCAUUCAUUGCAUUAAAACUCUAAUAACUCUCAAAGUGCUAUUCUAUAUUCAGAACUCAACAAAAAAAAUUAAAGCAAAAAGAAAACAAAAGAGAUAGCGACAAUGAAAAGAAAAUAAGAAUAUGCAAUAUACAUCAUUAAUGUGAUCUUUAAAACCCUACAAGAUCUAGAACACUAAAAAACCAAUGAUUCUAAUCAUUUUGAACAUUUUAGUUUUAUUGUCCAUGAAAUAAGCCCUAAAAUGCUCAAUAAAAGAAAACCAGGAAAGUAUUUUACCAUAUUGCUAAACAUAACUUGAAAAUCGCAUAUUUUCUCCAUUAAUGAUUUAAUCUUUGAAGCCUUGCAAGAUAAAGCACAUCCAAAACUAAUGAUUCUAAUAAUUUUCAAUGUUUUAUUGUCCACAAAAGAACCCCUAAAAUAUCCAAUAAUGAACUUUCUGGUUUUAGGAGAAAUGUUUAGGAGAAAAAGAAAGGUACAUGAUGAAGAGGGGUGAGAGGGAGAGGGAGAGGGAGAGGGAGAGGGAGAAAGAGGGGUUAGAGACAGAGGGAGAGAGAGGAAUAGGGGUUAGAGAGAGAGAAGGACCUAUGCGGAGGAGCAGUUGCAGAGGAGGCAGAGGCAUGGAAUGUAUUGGUGUGAGGGUGCUAAAGAAGCGAGAGGGUGAGGUCGGGGAUGAAGUUCCCUUUUUAAGUUCCGUGGUUUUCCACCGAACUUUUUUAAAGCGUAAAAGUACGAUGAGUUACGGUACAUAGGACUUCUUUAAAUAUCUUACAAUCUUUUAACAAACAGAAAUAGUAACA